rnacentral:rRNA from 1 species
UACGUAGGUGGCAAGCGUUGUCCGGAAUUAUUGGGCGUAAAGCGUGCGCAGGCGGUGAUGUAAGACAGAUGUGAAAUCCCCGGGCUCAACCUGGGAACUGCAUUUGUGACUGCAUCGCUGGAGUACGGCAGAGGGGGAUGGAAUUCCGCGUGUAGCAGUGAAAUGCGUAGAUAUGCGGAGGAACACCGAUGGCGAAGGCAAUCCCCUGGGCCUGUACUGACGCUCAUGCACGAAAGCGUGGGGAGC